GAUGAACGCUGGCGGCGUGCCUAAUACAUGCAAGUCGAGCGAACAGACGAGGAGCUUGCUCCUCUGACGUUAGCGGCGGACGGGUGAGUAACACGUGGAUAACCUACCUAUAAGACUGGGAUAACUUCGGGAAACCGGAGCUAAUACCGGAUAAUAUAUUGAACCGCAUGGUUCAAUAGUGAAAGACGGUUUUGCUGUCACUUAUAGAUGGAUCCGCGCCGGAUUAGCUAGUUGGUAAGGUAACGGCUUACCAAGGCAACGAUGCGUAGCCGACCUGAGAGGGUGAUCAGCCACACUGGAACUGAGACACGGUCCAGACUCCUACGGGAGGCAGCAGUAGGGAAUCUUCCGCAAUGGGCGAAAGCCUGACGGAGCAACGCCGCGUGAGUGAUGAAGGUCUUCGGAUCGUAAAACUCUGUUAUUAGGGAAGAACAAAUGUGUAAGUAACUAUGCACGUCUUGACGGUACCUAAUCAGAAAGCCACGGCUAACUACGUG
rnacentral:rRNA from 1 species